rnacentral:rRNA from 1 species
UACGUAGGGUGCGAGCGUUGUCCGGAAUUAUUGGGCGUAAAGAGCUCGUAGGCGGCUUGUCGCGUCGAAUGUGAAAUCCUGCGGCUCAACUGCAGGCUUGCAUUCGAUACGGGCAGGCUCGAGUUCGGUAGGGGAGACUGGAAUUCCUGGUGUAGCGGUGAAAUGCGCAGAUAUCAGGAGGAACACCGGUGGCGAAGGCGGGUCUCUGGGCCGAAUACUGACGCUGGAGGAGCG